GAUGAACGCUGGCGGCGUGCCUAAUACAUGCAAGUCGAGCGAACAGAUGAGGAGCUUGCUCCUCUGACGUUAGCGGCGGGCGGGUGAGUAACACGUGGAUAACCUACCUAUAAGACUGGGAUAACUUCGGGAAACCGGAGCUAAUACCGGAUAAGAUAUUGAACCGCAGGGUUCAAUAGUGAAAGACGGUUUUGCUGGAACUUAUCGAUGGAUCCGCGCCGCAUUAGCUAGUUGGUAAGGUAACGGCUUACCAAGGCUACGAUGCGUAGCCGACCUGAGAGGGUGAUCGGCCACACUGGAACUGAGACACGGUCCAGACUCCUACGGGAGGCCGCAGUAGGGAAUCUUCCGCAAUGGGCGAAAGCCUGACGGAGCGACGCCGCGUGUGUGAUGAAGGUCUUCGGAUCGUAAAGCUCUGUUAUUGGGGAUGAACAACUGUGUAAGUAACUAUGCCCGUCUUGACGGUACCUAAUCAGAAAGCCACGGCUAACUACGUG
rnacentral:rRNA from 1 species